rnacentral:rRNA from 1 species
UACGUAGGGUGCAAGCGUUGUCCGGAAUUAUUGGGCGUAAAGAGCUCGUAGGCGGUUUGUCGCGUCGAAUGUGAAACCCGGGGCUCAACCCCGGGCCUGCAUUCGAUACGGGCAGACUAGAGUUCGGUAGGGGAGUCUGGAAUUCCUGGUGUAGCGGUGAAAUGCGCAGAUAUCAGGAGGAACACCGGUGGCGAAGGCGGGACUCUGGGCCGGAACUGACGCUGAGGAGCGAAAGCGUGGGGAGCGAACAGG